CAAUGACUAAUCGUUGUGUAAAUAUAUAAAUUAAAUUAUUCAAUAUAUUGUACUUUCUCAACUUUUCAUCUACAGCAGUGGCCCACUAGUGGUGUGAAGUUUGUCCGUCUGUUUUUUUUUUCAGUUUGUGAGUUCGCCGAAAGAGGAAACGUGAGGUUUUCACCGAUAAUUUGUUGUCGAGUUAUUUAAUAGCCAACGCGAAAUGUUUAAUGGGAUUUUUUUUUUUCGGAGUGUGGGAUAUCUGCGAUUAAAAUUGUUUCGGUGAGGUAAAAAAGGUUAAAAACUCGACACGAGAAUUGUUUAUCGUCCGUAUAUUCUCACGCGAUAAAAGAAAACAGUCGAGUUUAAUCUAAAGGCUCAGUGAUGCUGCAAUAACCCGACAGCUCCGUUUCUCAAACAUUUUCUGGAAACAAAAAUAAAUAAAAACAUAUUUUGAUAAUAUUUGUAAUAAAACCAAUUUUAAAAUUAAUUUAACUACGUUAGACGAGAACGAAAAAUGCUUAUAGGUUCAGCGAAUUUUUUAAUUCUUAUUGGCCUUUUUUUCAAAACUAGACCAUUUAGUAUGUCCGAUAAUAACAUUUCGAUUUAUUCGUUUUUUGGCCAACAUUUUGGGCAUUUAUGAUUUUGUUCUAACACGCGGUAGUCCCAAGUAUUUAACUCCUACGAUGCGGAUAUAAUCGGCUUUGACUCGUUGCUGCAUGCAGAAAAUACG